CUAGCAGAUAUUGUACCAUUCUGAAAGUUAUGAGAGGCCCCUCAUAGGUUAUACAGAGGAAAGCUUUGUCUUUUCCAGUCUCUAAUAGACGAGGGGCCUCAAACACUGAUAGCCAUCAGUGCCUUUAAGAUGUUGCAGUUUAUGUCAGGCCUUGUGUCAGUGUGACAGUUUUGCUGAUUUGAAAUUUGGACCGGGGACGAGAGUAACAGUUCUAGAGCCCAACAUGACCAUCACCCCUCCAACUGUAACCUUGAUGCCACCUUCUCCAAAAGAACUCUGCAAUGCACAGGGAAGAAAAGGCAAAGUAACUUUGGUCUGCUUAGCCACACAUUUUUAUCCCGAUCAUGUUAGCAUUGUUUGGCAAGUAAAUGAACUAGAGAGAAAUAAUAGUGUUGCAACCGACCAUAUAGCACAACAAAAUAUAAACACAAGGUUUUACAGUAUGUCCAGCAGAUUGCGUGUCAAUCAUGCUGAGUGGACCAACGUCAAAAACAAAUUCAGUUGCAUCAUUUCUUUCUACAAUGGAAGUGAAUACGAGAAGAUUCAAACCCACAUCACAUAUUCACCAGGGAAAAUACCAGUGAGGGUGUAUCUCAUGGUGAAAUUUGGCUACAUGAUUUUUAUUAGCAAAAGUCUGCUGUAUGCUGUAUUUGUCAGCAUUUUGGUGUGGAUGUGCAAGGCUUCAAAAGAGAAGACAGUGAUGACAGAAAAUGGAGACAUCAUGAUGAACUAAGUAAUAUUUAGCAAAUUUGCCUAUAAAACUACCAAACGGUCACAAAAAUGUUAGCUAAUGUACAUAUUUGCAUUAUGCAGCUUUAAAAGAUUUGAUUUUAGAUCAUUAGUGAUAAGUCUGCUAAUUACAAGUAUGCUAAUAUAUCCUUUGUGGCUGUACAACCAUACUAUGUAGUCUUUCAUUGUUUGCUGUACAAUUCUUACCUUGCAAUAUAAUUUUCCCUUAACGUCGCUUAGCAGAUUAUUUGCUAUAGAAGAAACCAUGAACGGAAGUAAUUAACGGCUAUGUUUGAUCUUCAAGUCUGUCGUGUUGAACACAUUAUUUAAUGAUUGCAGUUGAUAACUGGCUUAAAAAGUAAAAGUUCUGAACUGAGGCACUAUUACAUAGUUUUUCUUAGUUAAUCAUUGUUAGGAACCGUAGAGUCAUUUUUGCAAAUUUAUAUAGAAUUAGUUUUAGUCAUUGAUUCCGUAAACAGCAGUAACUGUUAGUUAACAUUUAAAAAAACGUUGAUUAAUACACGUGUUAUCUUACUGUGUUACUUGUAUAACCAUUACAAUUUGUUGAUAUUAUCUCAUGCAAUAAGUAACGUCAGGGAAAGUAAGUGAACCUUAAUGUACAUAUGUUUCUUACUUUCAAGAGAACAAUAAAGUAACUAAAGCUGC